rnacentral:rRNA from 1 species
UACGAAGGGGGCUAGCGUUGCUCGGAAUCACUGGGCGUAAAGGGUGCGUAGGCGGGCUUUUAAGUCAGAGGUGAAAGCCUGGAGCUCAACUCCAGAACUGCCUUUGAUACUGGAGAGCUUGAGUCCGGGAGAGGUGAGUGGAACUGCGAGUGUAGAGGUGAAAUUCGUAGAUAUUCGCAAGAACACCAGUGGCGAAGGCGGCUCACUGGCCCGGUACUGACGCUGAGGUGCGAAAGCGUGGGGAGCAAACAGG